rnacentral:rRNA from 1 species
UACGUAGGGGCAAGCGUUGUCCGGAAUCAUUGGGCGUAAAGAGCGUGUAGGCGGUCCGGUAGUCGGCUGUGAAAGUCCAGGCUCAACCUGGAUGCCGGUCGAUACUGCCGGACUAGAGUUCGGAAGAGGCGAGUGGAAGUUCCCGGUGUGAGCGGUGAAAGUGCGCAGAGUAUCGGAGGAACACCUAUGGCGAAGGCAGCUCGCUGGGACGUUACUGACGCUGAGACG